UUGCUCUACUUUUGGAAACGACACGGAGAGGGGAAAAAAUCAUGCUGCGUCAAACAUGUGUCUACUCAAGGAAUGCAGUCAUUCCACAAACCAUGGAUAUGAAAUUCCAAUCAGCUCAAGACUUGGAGGCCUAAACUGAAAGAAUUAUAACCAUGGAAUCCUAAAUGCGUGCAUCAACUUUAGUAGAUCUCAUAAGAGCUCGAAGUCUUUCAAUCAUUCUAUUAUGCCGGCCAACACAUUUGGUAUUUGGAUUCCUGGGACCAAAAUACGGAGGAAUAUCAUGGAAAACUCCU
rnacentral:lncRNA from 1 species